GGAUGUGAGGGCGAUCUGGCUGUGAUAUCUGUCACCCCAUUGAUCGCCAGGGUUGAUUCUGCUGAUCUGGCUGGCUAGGCGGUUGUCCCCUUCCUCCCUCACCACUCCAUGUGUGUCCCUUCAGUUGAAGAGGACGACCUUCCCCAAUAGAGAGGGACUGGUCUUUGGUCUAGGGUAUAGGAGUAGCUGCACUCCCCUGCUAAAACCUCCAAACAAGCUCUCAAGGAAACAAGAAACUUUAGAUGUAUUUACUAUUGGUGUUAGAAUAGUGAACAAUAUAUUUGCUUUGUGUGCAAAACAAAUUCUUU
rnacentral:snRNA from 1 species